UGAGUAACGCGUGAGGAACCUGCCUUUCAGAGGGGGACAACAGUUGGAAACGACUGCUAAUACCGCAUGACGCAUUUUGAUCGCAUGGUCGAAAUGCCAAAGAUUUAUCGCUGAAAGAUGGCCUCGCGUCUGAUUAGCUAGUUGGUGAGGUAACGGCCCACCAAGGCGACGAUCAGUAGCCGGACUGAGAGGUUGACCGGCCACAUUGGGACUGAGAUACGGCCCAGACUCCUACGGGAGGCAGCAGUGGGGAAUAUUGGGCAAUGGGCGCAAGCCUGACCCAGCAACGCCGCGUGAAGGAAGAAGGCUUUCGGGUUGUAAACUUCUUUUAAGUGGGAAGAGUAGAAGACGGUACCACUUGAAUAAGCCACGGCUAACUACGUGCCAGCAGCCGCGGUAAUACGUAGGUGGCAAGCGUUGUCCGGAUUUACUGGGUGUAAAGGGCGUGCAGCCGGGCAUGCAAGUCAGAUGUGAAAUCUCAGGGCUUAACCCUGAAACUGCAUUUGAAACUGUAUGUCUUGAGUGCCGGAGAGGUAAUCGGAAUUCCUUGUGUAGCGGUGAAAUGCGUAGAUAUAAGGAAGAACACCAGUGGCGAAGGCGGAUUACUGGACGGUAACUGACGGUGAGGCGCGAAAGCGUGGGGAGCGAACAGGAUUAGAUACCCUGGUAGUCCACGCUGUAAACGAUGGAUACUAGGUGUGCGGGGACUGACCCCCUGCGUGCCGCAGUUAACACAAUAAGUAUCCCACCUGGGGAGUACGAUCGCAAGGUUGAAACUCAAAGGAAUUGACGGGGGCCCGCACAAGCGGUGGAUUAUGUGGUUUAAUUCGAAGCAACGCGAAGAACCUUACCAGGUCUUGACAUCCUGCUAACGAAGUAGAGAUACAUUAGGUGCCCUUCGGGGAAAGCAGAGACAGGUGGUGCAUGGUUGUCGUCAGCUCGUGUCGUGAGAUGUUGGGUUAAGUCCCGCAACGAGCGCAACCCCUAUUGUUAGUUGCUACGCAAGAGCACUCUAGCGAGACUGCCGUUGACAAAACGGAGGAAGGUGGGGACGACGUCAAAUCAUCAUGCCCCUUAUGACCUGGGCUACACACGUAAUACAAUGGCGGUCAACAAAGGGAUGCAAAGCCGCGAGGCAGAGCGAACCCC
rnacentral:rRNA from 1 species